CUGGCUAGUUCAAAGCAGGACCACAGGGACAAGACUGUACCUGGCUGUUUUAAGAGCUUUCUUCAUUUGGGAAGCAGCAUGAUGAAAAUUCAUCAUCAUAAUGGAGAGGAGGCUGCGGCAGCAAUGAAGAUGAAGAGCCUGAGGAGGACGCUGAGUGGCUAAAGGAGUGAACACUAAAGAAGGUCAGGGAAAGGAGUGAUAAACCUUCUCCAAGCCGAAAUGAGCGAUUUGUAAUUUGCCUCCUCCAGGCUGAGGCCUUGCUUAAGGAGAUGGGUAUUGGCUUGCCACUGAGGAAGAUGAGGAUAUAAAUCUCACUGGGCACCACCACUACCACCAGCUCUCAGAAACCAACAGGAAAUUUCGUGCCCCCCCACCCUCGCUAUUCCAAGUCCUAUUGUGAUUUUAAUUACAUCACCUUCAGUUACAUUAUUAUGAUUAUAAAAGCGUGUAGCUGAGCCAUGUAAUACGCAAAAAUUACUUUUCCUUUCCAGCCCAACUUUUUAUUUUUCCUGAAUUUAAUAUAUGUAUUGUUUUACAUUUGCCUGCUUUUUAUGUACCUGAUACUAAUUCAACCCAAAUCUGUCCUCCAGUUGUGUAUCUCUCCUCAAUACCUUCAAGCACCUUAAGGAUCCUAUUGUUUUCAUCUUCUGAAUGAAACCUCUCCCAGAGUCUUUUGAACUGCUCAAAUCUAGAUGGUCUUAUCUCAAGAUCUAUGUAGCAGCAGUAGAAAGCCAUAAUAGCAAAGGGAAGAAACUGAUAUUUGAACCUGGUAAGAGCCAUGGUACAAGGGUCAGCCAAAGAGAAUCAUGGUAUUAGAUGGAAGACAGCUUCUGACCAACUGAGGUCCAGCAGAGAGGAAGCAUGGGGAAUAAAUAUUAUCACCUCAGUUUCUUCCUGCUGAUCUCUUGCCAGCAUCUCUAGUGGUCAAACCCACUUAUAAAUCCCCCAGCAAGUGAGCCCAGGUAAUGUAGUAUGGUAAUGUAGAUCAGUUUCCUGGGGCACCAAGAACAGACAGAAAAUAGAACUGAAGAAGUAAACUAAGAAUAUCUAGCAAGCCAUAUCUUUCUAUUUUGGUUUACUCUGUUAUUUUGGUAGACCCCAUUCUCCAGUAACUUGAUGAAAAAUGGCACAUGAGAGAUAAAUUACGUAGGUGUUUAUAAAUCUUGAAAACACCUUUAUGUCUCAAGCUAAAUUGAUAGUUUGGCUGGAUAUAGAAUUCAAGGUUGAAAAUAAUUUUGCCUCUCUAUUCUCUCGUCCUCUAGAUUUCAUCAUUGUCAAGAAGUUUCCUGCCAGUCUAAGAGUUUAUUCUUUAUAUAAAAUCUGGAAGCUUUAGGGU